UUGAUUAUUUGCUUGUACCACUCAGAAGAAACGUCGUUGAAUCAGAGUUUGGUUAUCCUCCGGCGGGCGCCGACCCGCCCGGGGGCGGGAGGCCGGGAGGGUCGCGGAGACCCUACCCGCCGAAGCAACAGUUAUAGGUAUGUUCACAAAGGGUUAUAGAGCGUAAACUCAGUAAUGAUCCCUCCGCUGGUUCACCAACGGAGA
rnacentral:misc_RNA from 1 species